UGGGAGAAAAGACACUAUAUGGCGAAGUGCUCCUCCCGCUGCCCUGCCAGGCUCAUCUGUCAGCCAUUAGUUAAUCAGGGCUGGUAACAGAGAGCACAGAGAGCUGGCACAGUGCGUGGGACCAGAGGACAGCUUCACCUCUGAGAGCAGGAGGAGGGCAAGGACUCAGGGACCUCUGCUUCACUGAGAUCCAGCUGGGUUACUUCACUCACCGGCACCCACUCAGGACUGGCAGGCGGCAACCUCAAGAUGACCCCACCCACCGCUUUACUUACAACAGGGUGGUUUCGGAGUCAGAAGUCAAAACAACACAUGUUAUCAACAUGGGAACAGCUGGUAAGAGCGGCGUCAUGGGGCACAGGAAUGUCAAGAGUCAUACAUCUUUUAUCCAUCAGGCCAAAAUACCCACCCAGACUUGGAACCACACACAGGAACAAUGUGAAAUAGUAACACUUAUACAUCCAGCUCAUCUCACACGAUCUAUAGCUACCUUUAUCCACCACUUCAUGGAAAUCAUAUGACAAAUCCAAUUCAACAAAUGUACAUUAAAAUGUUUUAAAAUGCAGAAUACGGGAAUAUUUUUUAUACUAAAACAGACUGCAGUGAUGAAUUACAGAUGUGACAAGUUGAUUUUGCCAUCCUAUGCAUACCAGGAUGCUGUUGAUCAUAUGAUGUGGAAAUAAUUUCUUCUCUCUGCCUGCACAGUUUUUGACAGACUGUCAGCAGCAGCGAACUGCUGAUUGGCAAAAACUAAACAGCACAUUCUGCAUUCCCAAGUAAGAGUUCGUCAUCGUUAAAGAGUUAAAUAAACAACCGGUUGAGUGGGCAUACAUAGUGUCUUCAGCACGGUUUCCUUUUUCAGUCAGCACCACUCAGCAAAGGUACAACAAACGAUCAUAAGUAAGAAUGAAAUAGUAAAACCGUCAAGUUCUCCCGUACGUCUAAACAUUCCUCUGACACUUUUUUCCAUGAGCGUGUUAAAGUCAAACAUCCAGGAAAUGAGCACUACACUAAAUACUGGGCAAAAUGAAGAAACACGUCAGAAUCAGCAGAAUGAAGUAAAUCCUUAAAGACAGAACUUGAAAAAUACAAACAGCAGACCAGUCGUGAAGCGGUGACCUUUGACACAGGGUAUCCAAGUCUAACUCUGCCUUCCUGCUAAAUGUUACACAGCUGUUUUUCUCAUCUGUCAUAGCAACCAGCCUGCCACAGCUUGCAGAGAGGGAAGCAUGGAAAAGCUCAGCGAAGCGGAAGAUCUUGACCUUGUGUUUACUUAGAAAAAAAACGAUAAAAGAAAAAAAAAAAGGAGAAUCUAAUUGUUACUGCACUUUAUCACAAUCAGUGUUUACCAAAAUUGUUUAAACAUCUUCUUUA